CCAUCAGAGAGGGUGAGAAUCCCGUCUGGGGCGGGGUGUCCGCGUCCGUGUGAAGCUCCUUCGACGAGUCGAGUUGUUUGGGAAUGCAGCUCUAAAUGGGUGGUAAAUUUCAUCUAAAGCUAAAUAUUGGCCGGAGACCGAUAGCGCACAAGUAGAGUGAUCGAAAGAUGAAAAGCACUUUGAAAAGAGAGUUAAAAAGCACGUGAAAUUGUUGAAAGGGAAGCACUUACGACCAGACUCGCUCACGGGGUUCAGCCGGCUUUCGGGCCGGUGUACUUCCCCGGGAGCGG
rnacentral:rRNA from 1 species